rnacentral:rRNA from 1 species
CUACGGGCGGCUGCAGUGAGGAAUAUUGCACAAUGGGGGGAACCCUGGUGCAGCAACGCCGCGUGGAGGAUGACGCAUUUCGGUGUGUAAACUCCUUUUAUAUGUCAAGAAAAUGACGGUAGCAUAUGAAUAAGCACCGGCUAACUCCGUGCCAGCAGCCGCGGUAAUACGGAGGGUGCAAGCGUUACUCGGAAUCACUGGGCGUAAAGGACGCGUAGGCGGGUUGGAAAGUCAGGUGUGAAAUCCUACAGCUUAACUGUAGAACUGCACUUGAAACUUCUAAUCUAGAGUAUGGGAGGGGGAGAUGGAAUUAGUGGUGUAGGGGUAAAAUCCGUAGAUAUCACUAGGAAUACCUAAAGCGAAGGCGAUCUCCUGGAACAUUACUGAUGCUAAGGCGUGAAAGCGUGGGGAGCAAACAGGAUUAGAUACCCCUGUAGUC